UUGGAGGGCAAGUCUGGUGCCAGCAGCCGCGGUAAUUCCAGCUCCAAUAGCGUAUAUUAAAGUUGUUGCAGUUAAAAAGCUCGUAGUUGAAUUUCGGGGUUAGUAGGUUGGUCAUGCCUCUGGUAUGUACUGGUCUCACUGAUUCCUCCUUCCUGAUGAGCCGUAAUGCCAUUAAUUUGGUGUUGCGGGGAAUUUGGACUGUUACUUUGAAAAAAUUAGAGUGUUUAAAGCAAGCUAACGCUUGAAUACAUUAGCAUGGAAUAAUGAAAUAGGACGUUCGAUCCUAUUUUGUUGGUUUCUAGGAUUGACGUAAUGAUUAAUAGGGAUAGUUGGGGGCAUUAGUAUUCAAUUGUCAGAGGUGAAAUUCUUGGAUUUAUUGAAGACUAACUACUGCGAAAGCAUUUGCCAAGGAUGUUUUCAUUAAUCAAGAACGAAAGUUAGGGAAUCGAAGACGAUCAGAUACCGUCGUAGUCUUAACCAUAAACUAUGCCGACUAGGGAUCGGAUGAUGUUAAUUUUUUAAUGGCUCAUUCGGCGCCUUACGGGAAAC
rnacentral:rRNA from 1 species